UACGGAGGGUGCAAGCAUUGAUCGGAAUUACUGGGCGUAAAGGGCGCGUAGGCGGCCUGAAAAGUCGAGUGUGAAAUUCCAGGGCUCAACCCUGGAGCUGCAUUCGAAACUUUCAGGCUAGAGAGUAGUUAGGGUAAACGGAAUUCCACGUGUAGCGGUGAAAUGCGUAGAUAUGUGGAAGAACACCAGUGGUGAAGACGGUUUACUGGGCUAUUUCUGACGCUGAGGCGCGAAAGCAUGGGGAGCAAACAGG
rnacentral:rRNA from 1 species